AGGUCAUGUUGAGGGCAAUUCCUUAGCAAUCCAUUAUAUCUUUCGCAACCUUCAUAUAAAGAUUCACCAUCAUUUUAAUGGAAGUCUGCUAUUUUCUUCUUGAAUUU